UUUCUCUCUACCCCUCUCUCACUUACACAUGCACACUCUCAAACUUUAAAAGUAAUAAUAAUUCUCUUAUUUGUGUUGGGAUCAUGUUAAGCUUCUAGAUUAAUUUAGAAAGAAUUCACAACUUUCUACCAACAAGGUAUGGACUUUACUCAUUUGUUCAAAUCAUCUCUUGUGUUCCUCAGUAGCAUUUAAGUUUUGUCCCUGUAUAUUGUGUACAUUUCCUGUUUUCAUAUGUGUGUAAAUCCACGCACACAUUUGUGUAUAUAGAAGUACGCAGGUAGUCCAUCACAGUUAUUCUAUAAUCCUUAAUUUUUUUUCUUAAAGCAUUUAAAAACUCUCUUACUGUUAUAAAUGUAGAGGGAAAUGAAAAAUACUAUAAGAUAUACAGCACACUGUAACUUAAUGCUUAAAAACAUUAAGAAUUAAAGUGUUUUACUUCUUUUGUGGGAAACUUACCCAGAAUAGUCUGCUCAGUGCUCGCUUCUCCUUACAGUAUUAUAGGUGAGCGUGUUUUCGGUGCCUUGGCCAUUUGUCAUACUCCUUUCUGGGUAUGGAUCAGCUUUCACCAUUUUAUCCUUUGCUCUUUCAAUUCAAUUUGAUUACAGAGAGUUUCUGUACUGAUAUUUUUCACAGGAAUAACUUCUUCCGGGAACCCACUUUCUUCAUGCAUGCCAUCAAGUUCACCUUCAUGUAGAUCCUCUGGCUGCAUAUGCAGAGUUUCUUCAGUGGCAGCCGUGUCAGCAUUCCUGUGGUCCCCUAUUUGUUCUAUAAAUGCAUUUACAUUUGAGCCUGAUUUCACUUACAGGGUUACAGGUUUCUCCUGUAUUUCCAUUUUGUUGGCCAAUUCCUUCUGUUGGAGUCUACAUUUUUGUAAAAAGGCACACGGGACAUUUUAUCAGUGGGAGAUUAGGAGGCACCACAACUUAAUGCUUUGCUGUCUGUGAGUGACCAGUUACUGACUGAAAGAAAUGACAUGAUUGGUCACUGAUCCCGAAGCAUGUCUUUGCCUAGUGGACUCAAAAGCUACCAGUGAAGUCUGUACUCUACAAUUACACAGUUAAUAUAUUUUGAUAACUGAAAUUUGAACAGUUGUUAGGGGGGAGUGGUGACAUUUAACUAAACCAUAGUAACCAGGAUCCGUGCAUGGCAGAACCAUACAAAGCAAGGACUGCCUGCUCACCCCCCCCCCACACACACACACACUGGUUGUGAGGCAUAUGCUUAUGUAUUUCAUUUUUUCUGUUGCUGCUAUAACGUGGGUCUUUUCCUUCCUUUCCUAGUUUUCAAUUCAAUAUUGUUUUUAUAUAGGAAAGCUGUUGAUCUAUACAGAACGUUCACUUUAUGCCCUUAUUGAAUUUCUUUUUUUUUUCUCUUACUGAACUUCUUAUUACUUUUAACAGUUUUUAAUUGGUGUUUGUGUAGAUAUAUAAUUAUAUUAUCUGCAAAUAAUUUUCUCAACCUUUCCUAUAUGAUAUUUACACCUCUUAUUUCUGUCUCUUACCUAACUGUACUGGCUAGUGUUUCUGCCACAUACUAAAUAAUAGUGGGGAUAGUGAAAAUCCUUAUUUUGCUCUUGGGCUGAAUGGAUAUGCUUCUAGUGUUUUCUCAUAAAGCUUUAGACUAGUUUUGGGGUUAAGAUAGAUAUGUUUUUUCAUGAAGAAUUAUUCACCUACCCUAUUCUGUGGAGAAAUUUUAUUAAGAAUGUAUAUCGGGUAUAGGUAUUGUCAGCCUGAUGUAAGUGCCUCCUAAAAUAUGGUGCUAGGGAGUACACAGCUGUCCCUAGGAAGUAUAUUUG